GUGAGCUCUCAUUCAAAAGUUAAAUCCAUUUUUAGAACACAUUUCUGUAAUUAUGUUAUCAUUUAAUCAGUCUUGUCAUAAGUAAAUGAACUGUUGAUCUUGUCACUGAUAUUUUUAAUUGUAACUCCUCUUGUCUCUUGUUUGUCUUUAAGAGAGAGGAGACGAGGAGUAGAGGAGGUGAGGAGGAGAGGAGAGGAUGCCAGAGGUCAACAGGAAGUCUCUCUGAUGCAAAUGAGGAGAGCAGAGGAAAGGCAGUCGAGAGGAGAAGAGAAGGGACGUAAAACCGCCAUAUAAAGGUGGAAAUCAACUCAUUUAAUAAUAUGCUGGACCAAACUUCAGAAGCUGCCAGAAGGGAAACUCAUCUCACCACAAUGACUUUUGACACAGUCAAACAGUAAACAUGUGUUUCCAAUGAAAAGUCAAAACAAGAGGAAAUGUUUCAGUUUGGUUUCUGAGGUUUAGGUCUUACCUCAUGUUUUUAAUGGCUUUGUAUGUUGGGGAAUCAAAAUAGUCUGUGUUUAUAUUGUGUUGUACUAAUGAUUGGAUAUCCUGCCAGCCCCCCCAAAAUAUUUUUUUCUUAAAGAAAAGCUUUUGGUCCAUGAGUAGAUAGACUCUUCCUUUGUAAUCUAGCAGAAAUAAAAUAGUCCUACAUGAAACUCUUAACAAGGUCUGUGGAUUAUUCUGAGUAUCUGGGUCAUGACUUCUGGAAAGAGACGAUACUGUUCAACAUGGUUUUUCUAAGCUUUGAAGACCACGAGACAAAUAUCAUCUAAUUCCAAUAUAUUCAAGAGAAGGCAGACAAAAUGAUGGCUGAAAUCUCCCAAACUCUGCAUCUUACAUCAAAACUAUGAAGAUAGAUAAAUUACUCUACAAAUUAGAGGAAACGAUGACUUUUUAAUUUUGGAGUGAACUGUCCCUUUAAUCUCUAGCACAGGAAAGCCAAAGAUGCGUUUGUGGAGUGAUUCGAGUGCAGGUGUUCUGUCACUAGGCAGUAUGAGCCUGAGCACGCUCCUCUCAGCAUCAGUGGAGAGAGUGGAGAACAUCAAGUUCCUCAGAGUGCAGAAUCAGAUCUCGCACAACCUGAGCUGGAAUAAAAACACCUCAGGGAUCACGAAACAGGCCCAGCAGAGCCUGUCUUUGCUGAGGAAGCUGAAACAAGCCUCGCUCCCCAUCAGCAUCCUCAGGACCUUCUACGGUGGUGUGGUGGAGAGCGUUAUUCUCGCACUGUAUCUCAACAUGGUACUCCAACAGUCACAUUAACAGCUUCUUUUCACAAACUGUUAGACUGAUGAGCUGCUGAUCUGGAGCAUGUGCACUGAUGCACUUCAUGAGCCCUUAGUCACAGUUUUAGUUUUAAAUGAUUAUAUUGAUAUAUUGUGUGUUAUUAAUUGUCUUGUGUUAUUGA